rnacentral:rRNA from 1 species
UGGGGAAUAUUGCACAAUGGGGGAAACCCUGAUGCAGCGACGCCGCGUGAGCGAAGAAGGCUUUCGAGUCGUAAAGCUCUGUCCUAUGAGAAGAUAAUGACGGUAUCAUAGGAGGAAGCCCUGGCUAAAUACGUGCCAGCAGCCGCGGUAAUACGUAUGGGGCGAGCGUUGUCCGGAAUUAUUGGGCGUAAAGGGUACGUAGGUGGUCUUUCAAGUCGGUGGUUAAAGGCUACGGCUCAACCGUAGUUAGCCUCCGAAACUGGAAGACUUGAGUGCAGGAGAGGUAAGUGGAAUUUUUAGUGUAGCGGUGAAAUGCGUAGAUAUUAAAAAGAAUACCGGUGGCGAAGGCGACUUACUGGGCUCAUUCUGACGCUGAGGAACGAAAGCGUGGGUAGCAAACAGG